UACGUAGGGUGCGAGCGUUAAUCGGAAUUACUGGGCGUAAAGCGUGCGCAGGCGGUUUUGUAAGUCAGAUGUGAAAGCCCCGGGCUUAACCUGGGAAUGGCAUUUGGGACUGCAAGGCUUGAGUGCGGCAGAGGAGUCUGGAAUUCCUGGUGUAGCGGUGAAAUGCGCAGAUAUCAGGAGGAACACCGGUGGCGAAGGCGGGACUCUGGGCCGAUACUGACGCUGAGGAGCGAAAGCGUGGGGAGCAAACAGG
rnacentral:rRNA from 1 species